CCUUCUGUUCUCUAUCUCAUUCUCUCGCGCUCAGUCCAUCAUUUUCUCGUCUCUCGCGCUCGGGGCUUGUUUGCUGACGAACAAAAACGCGAAAGGAUGUAAAUGAAUGAAGGGAAAGCGGCUCGCGCACGCAGAGCGCGAACAAAAGCAGUCGAGCCCGGUUUAGCAGUGCGUGUGAUGCCGCAGAUCCUCCUCUAACUUUCAUCCUUCACUUUCAUCUGAAGCCGAAGACACGAGGACGCGCAGGUGUUGAAAGUGUCUCACAGACGAGCUCUGCUUCAGUAAAGUGGUGAAAGAUGAACUGAUCCUUCGAUGAGCUUCGAUGAUGUCACUUCCUGUAAGUGAAGUGAUUGGAGAAAUGCCCAUGCCUUUAUUUUGUUGAACACAUUUCAACAUAUGCACAGCUCUAUUUCACACACUCAUCUCAAGUCUCUAGAUGAAUUAUAAAAUCUGUAAAUGAAUAUUUGAAUAAAACUCAGAGCUGUAUGUUAGAUUCACUAAUGCAAUGAUCCUCAGAAACUCACCUGAUUCUGUAAUUAAUACUGUAAUGAGUAUAUCUGCGUAUCAGUGAAGCUGUAACUCGAGUAAAGCUGAACGUGUGAUGAUCUUCAAUAAAGCUUCUACU